UUUGAGUCUCUAAUUGUAGUACCCUCUGUAGAAUCUGUGAUCAGCAGGUCUGGCCUGCAUUUAUCAAUCCACGCAGGCCCCAAGUGACGAUCUGGAGUGGUGUUAAAACUUACUGUGUAGACUACUGAUUGUGAUCCUACUUUUAUCAAAAACAUUGCAAAACCCAAUACAUGCCCAGCAUAACAAGCUGUGAUUUCAAGGUCAUCAACAACCUGCAUAAACAAUAUUUUAUUUUAGGGUGCAUAGCCAGAUUUUUCAACAAAAAAUAAGCACUCUUUAAGUACGUUUUAUGCACUCAAAAAAUAUUUUUAAUCACUUU